AACGAACGCUGGCGGCAGGCUUAACACAUGCAAGUCGAACGCACCUUUCGGGGUUAGUGGCGGACGGGUGGGUACCGCGUGGGAAUCUACCCUUCUCUACGGUAUAGCUCCGGGUAACUUGACUUCAUACAGUUUACGUCCUGACGGAGAAAGAUUUAUCGGGGCAGGAUGGGCCCGCGUUGGAUUAGCUAGUUGGUGGGGUAAAGGCCUAUCAAGGCGACGAUCCAUAGCUGGUCUCAGAGGAUGAUCAGCCACAUUGGCACUGAGACACGGCCCAACCUCCGACGGAGGGCAGCGGUGGGGAGUAUUGUGCAAUGGACGCAAGCCUGAUCCAGCCAUGCCGCGUGAGAGAUGAAGGCCGUAGGGUUGUAAAGCUCUUUGAGUCGGGACGUGAAUGACGGUAACCACAGAAGAAGCCCCGGCUAACUUCGUG
rnacentral:rRNA from 1 species